UACGUAGGGUGCGAGCGUUGUCCGGAAUUAUUGGGCGUAAAGAGCUUGUAGGCGGUUUGUCGCGUCUGCUGUGAAAAUCCGGGGCUCAACCCCGGACUUGCAGUGGGUACGGGCAGACUAGAGUGUGGUAGGGGAGACUGGAAUUCCUGGUGUAGCGGUGGAAUGCGCAGAUAUCAGGAGGAACACCGAUGGCGAAGGCAGGUCUCUGGGCCACUACUGACGCUGAGAAGCGGAAGCAUGGGGAGCGAACAGG
rnacentral:rRNA from 1 species